ACUCAAAGGAAUUGACGGGGACCCGCACAAGCGGUGGAUGAUGUGGAUUAAUUCGAUGCAACGCGAAAAACCUUACCUACCCUUGACAUGUACGGAAGCCACGAGAGAUCGAGGUGUGCUCGAAAGAGAGCCGUAACACAGGUGCUGCAUGGCUGUCGUCAGCUCGUGUCGUGAGAUGUUGGGUUAAGUCCCGCAACGAGCGCAACCCUUGUCAUUAGUUGCUACGAAAGAGCACUCUAAUGAGACUGCCGGUGACAAACCGGAGGAAGGUGGGGAUGACGUCAAGUCCUCAUGGCCCUUAUGGGUAGGGCUUCACACGUCAUACAAUGGUACAUACAGAGGGCCGCCAACCCGCGAGGGGGAGCUAAUCCCAGAAAGUGUAUCGUAGUCCGGAUUGUAGUCUGCAACUCGACUACAUGAAGUUGGAAUCGCUAGUAAUCGCGGAUCAGCAUGUCGCGGUGAAUACGUUCCCGGGUCUUGUACACACCGCCCGU
rnacentral:rRNA from 1 species